UUAAGUGCGAUGAAGAAGAAGAGUAGACGAUUGAAACUUUUAAGAGAGCUGAUGGCUGGUGAGAAUCAGUAUGCUGAAAUCGUUGAAUGGGCUUUUGAGCAUCCAGUCUGAAAUAAAGUAGGUUUUGGCGGAAGGUCUCACCGAUAAAAGGGACGAUGUAUCGAAGGCGACUUCUGUACAGAUGAGUGCGUUUACUAAAGUGUAAGCGAAUGAAGGUGGCACCACGGGUUUUCCGUCCUUUUU
rnacentral:ncRNA from 1 species